ACUUCACCUUGUUAGAGCUUGGAGUUGAGGCCAGUGGUAGCUGAUGAACUCACAAGUGUAGGUAGUGCUACAUGAGGGACAAGUUUUUCGCUAAAGGGUCUCUGGCCCAGUGAGUGGAGUUUGAUAGUAACCUUUGCUAUGUGU